GAUGAACGCUAGCGACAGGCUUAACACAUGCAAGUCGAGGGGCAGCACAGGUAGCAAUACCGGGUGGCGACCGGCGCACGGGUGAGUAACGCGUAUGCAACUUACCUAUCAGAGGGGGAUAACCCGGCGAAAGUCGGACUAAUACCGCAUGAAGCAGGGGUCCCGCAUGGGGAUAUUUGCUAAAGAUUCAUCGCUGAUAGAUAGGCAUGCGUUCCAUUAGGCAGUUGGCGGGGUAACGGCCCACCAAACCGACGAUGGAUAGGGGUUCUGAGAGGAAGGUCCCCCACAUUGGUACUGAGACACGGACCAAACUCCUACUGGAGGCAGCAGUGAGGAAUAUUGGUCAAUGGCCGAGAGGCUGAACCAGCCAAGUCGCGUGAGGGAUGAAGGUUCUAUGGAUCGUAAACCUCUUUUAUAAGGGAAUAAAGUGCGGGACGUGUCCCGUUUUGUAUGUACCUUAUGAAUAAGGAGCGGCUAACUCCGUG
rnacentral:rRNA from 1 species